rnacentral:tRNA from 1 species
GCCCAGGUGGCUCAGUGGUUGAGCAUCUGCCUUCGGCUCAGGUCUUGGGAUCUUGGAAUCUGGGAUCAAGUCUCACACUGGGCU